rnacentral:rRNA from 1 species
CACGUAGGGUGCAAGCGUUGUCCGGAAUUAUUGGGCGUAAAGGGCGCGUAGGCGGCCGUGCAAGUGGAAGGUGAAAUCCCUCGGCUCAACCGAGGAACUGCCUUUCAAACUGCAUGGCUUGAGUCCGGGAGAGGUGAGUGGAAUUCCCAGUGUAGCGGUGAAAUGCGUAGAUAUUGGGAGGAACACCAGUGGCGAAGGCGGCUCACUGGACCGGAACUGACGCUGAGGCGCGAAAGCGUGGGGAGCAAACGGG